rnacentral:rRNA from 1 species
GGUGAACGCUGGCGGCGUGCUUAAGACAUGCAAGUCGAACGGGCUCUUCGGAGCCAGUGGCGCACGGGUGAGUAACGCGUAACUGACCUACCCCAAAGUCGCGGAUAACGAUUCGAAAGAAUCGCUAAUACGUGAUGUGCUGUCAGAUCUUGUUCUGCCAGUAAAGAUUUAUUGCUUUGGGAUGGGGUUGCGUUCCAUCAGCUAGUUGGUGGGGUAAAGGCCCACCGAGGCGACGACGGAUAGCCGGCCUGAGAGGGUGGCCGGCCACAGGGGCACUGCGACACGGGUCCCACUCCUACGGGAGGCAGCAGUUAGGAAUCUUCCACAAUGGGCGAAAGCCUGAUGGAGCGACGCCGCGUGAGGGAUGAAGGUCUUCGGAUCGUAAACCUCUGAAUCAGGGACGAAAGACACUUUAUGUGGGAUGACGGUACCUGAGUAAUAGCACCGGCUAACUCCGUGCCAGCCGCCGCAGUAAUAC